rnacentral:rRNA from 1 species
CCUACGGGUGGCUGCAGGAGGGAAUCUUUCACAAUGGGCGAAAGCCGGAUGGAGCAACGCCGCGUGCAGGAUGAAGGCCUUCGGGUUGUAAACUGCUUUUAUAAGCGAGAAAUAUGAUGGUAACUUAUGAAUAAGGAGCGGCGAACUACGUGCCAGCAGCCGCGGUCAUACGUAGGAUCCGAGCAUUAUCCGGAGUGACUGGGUGUAAAGAGUUGCGUAGGUGGCAUAAUAAGUAGCUAGUGAAAUCUGGUGGCUCAACCAUUCAGACUAUUAGCUAAACUGUUAAGCUCGAGGCCGUUAGGGGUAACUGGAAUUUCUAGUGUAGGGGUGAAAUCCGUAGAUAUUAGCAGGAACACCAAUCGCGUAGGCAGGUUACUGGGACGGUUCUGACACUCAGGCACGAAAGCGUAGGGAGCAAACCGGAUUAGAGACCCCUGUAGUC